GCACACGUACCAAGAUGGCAUCACUGGCUCCCCUGCUCUGCCUCGUGGUGCUCUGGGCCCAGGGUUCCUCCGGGCAGAUUGUGCUGACUCAGACCCCACAGUCCCUGGCGGUGUCUCCAGGAGAUCGAGUGACCAUCAAGUGCAAAGCCAGUUCCAGCCUUACUGCUAGUAGUUAUCAGUACUUAGCCUGGUACCAGCAGAAACCUGGACAAGCUCCUAAGCUCCUCAUCUAUGGUGGUUCCACACUGCAGUCGGGAGUCCCAGCCCGGUUCAGCGGCAGUGGCUCUGGCACUGAUUUCACUCUCACCAUCAGCGGUGUUGAAGCUGAAGAUGCUGGAGAUUAUUACUGUCACCAGUCCCUCAGUGAUCCUCACACAGUGAUACAAACCCAUACAAAAACCUCCCGAGGCUGCACAGCCCAGCACCACAGCUGCUUCCUGAAGAGACACUUACUUGAAAACUUGCUAAACACAAUAUUGUCUCAGGGGUUUCCCCAGGAUGUCAGUGUGUGA